rnacentral:rRNA from 1 species
UCGAUGGUAGGUGACCUGCCUACCAUGGUGCUAACGGGUAACGGGGAAUCAGGGUUCGAUUCCGGAGAGGGAGCCUGAGAAACGGCUACCACUUCCAAGGAAGGCAGCAGGCACGCAAAUUACCCAAUCCCGGCACGGGGAGGUAGUGACGAAAAAUACGGAUACGGGACUCACUUGAGGCUCCGUAAUUCGAAUGAGUACAAUUUAAAUCCUUUAACGAGGAUCAACUGGAGGGCAAGUCUGGUGCCAGCAGCCGCGGUAACUCCAGCUCCAGAAGCGUAUAUUAAAGUUGUUGCAGUUAAAAAGCUCGUAGUUGGAUCUGGGUUGCAUGGCUACAUGCCGUCGCUCGUGUGCACUUCAUGGUGACCACCGUGAAGGACAUAUGAGUCGGUCUCGUGGUUGUGCUUCCUUUCUGCUGUGUCUGUUUACAGGUGUCAGCGUGGCUGGCGGUCUUGAUUGCUAGUCUGUUGGCAUGCUUCUUGGUGCCUUUAACCGGGUGUCGGAGGCGGACAGCACGUUUACUUUGAACAAAUUUGAGUGCUCAAAGCAGGCCUUUGUGCCUGAAAAUUCUUGCAUGGAAUAAUGGAAUAGGACUUCGGUUCUAUUUUGUUGGUUUUCGGAUCCGAAGUAAUGGUUAAGAGGGACAGACGGGGGCAUUUGUAUGGCGGUGUUAGAGGUGAAAUUCUUGGAUCGCCGCCAGACAAACUACAGCGAAAGCAUUUGCCAAGGAUGUUUUCAUUGAUCUUGAGCGAAAGUCAGAGGUUCGAAGACGAUCAGAUACCGUCCUAGUUCUGACCAUAAACGAUGCCAACUGACGAUCCGUGGUGGUUCCUCUUGUGUCCCCACGGGCAGUCCCCGGGAAACCCUUAAGUCUUUGGGCUCCGGGGGAAGUAUGGUUGCAAAGCUGAAACUUAAAGGAAUUGACGGAAGGGCACCACCAGGAGUGGAGCCUGCGGCUUAAUUCGACUCAACACGGGAAAACUCACCCGGCCCGGACACUGUGAGGAUUGACAGAUUGAUAGCUCUUUCUUGAU